GACGAACGCUGGCGGCGUGCUUAACACAUGCAAGUCGAACGGAAAGGCCCUGCUUUUGUGGGGUGCUCGAGUGGCGAACGGGUGAGUAACACGUGAGUAACCUGCCCUUGACUUUGGGAUAACUUCAGGAAACUGGGGCUAAUACCGGAUAGGAGCUCCUGCUGCAUGGUGGGGGUUGGAAAGUUUCGGCGGUUGGGGAUGGACUCGCGGCUUAUCAGCUUGUUGGUGGGGUAGUGGCUUACCAAGGCUUUGACGGGUGGCCGGCCUGAGAGGGUGACCGGCCACAUUGGGACUGAGAUACGGCCCAGACUCCUACGGGAGGCAGCAGUGGGGAAUAUUGCACAAUGGGCGGAAGCCUGAUGCAGCAACGCCGCGUGCGGGAUGACGGCCUUCGGGUUGUAAACCGCUUUCGCCUGUGACGAAGCGUUAGUGACGGUAAUGGGUAAAGAAGCACCGGCUAACUACGUG
rnacentral:rRNA from 1 species